GGUCCUAUGGGGUAGUGGUUAUCCCACCGGAUUUUGAUUCCGGUAACGCCGGUUCGAAUCCGGCUAGGACCU
rnacentral:tRNA from 3 species